rfam:Pan troglodytes isolate Yerkes chimp pedigree #C0471 (Clint) chromosome 19, whole genome shotgun sequence.
GCCGGGCAUGCUGCCGCGUGCCUGUAGUCCCAGCUACUCGGGAGGCUGAGGCAGGAGAAUGGUGUGAACCCGGGAGGUGGAGGUUGCAGUAAGCCAAGAGCACGCCACUGCAUUCCAGCAUGGCGACAGAGCAAGACUCCAUCUUAAAAUAAACAAAUGAACAAUAUAUAUAUAUGUAUUUUUUUUUUUUGAGACAGAGUCUCGCUCUGUCAUCCAGGCUGGACUGCAGUGGUGCAAUCUUGGCUCACUGCAACCUCCGCCUCCCGGGUUCAAGCGAUUCCCCUGCCUCAG